rnacentral:rRNA from 1 species
CAUAGCUUUAUGAUUAUAUAAAGUAAUUUYUGCCCAAUGAAUUUAAUGGCCGCAGUACCUUGACUGUGCUAAGGUAGCGUAAUAACUUGGCUUUUAAUUGAAGUCGUGAAUGAAAGGGAAAUGGGUAAAUUGUCUCUUAAUUAUUUUAUAAAUUUACUUAUUAGGUGAAAAUUCCUAAAGUUUAUACUAGACGAGAAGACCCUUAGAAUUUUUAGUAUUUUUGUUGGGGCGACAGAGUAACAAAGAACUUACUAGUACUUAUAAUUAAUCAAUAAUAAUAAAAUUACCUAAGGGAUAACAGCAUAAAAUUAAGAUUGUGACCUCGAUGUUGGAUUAGGGAAUGAUAGUAAGCAAUUAUUAAAGUUCUGUUCGAACCCUACGUGAUCU